GGGCUGUCUAUUGAAUUAUUGAAGUUCCGAUGGUGAUAUUGUUUUUGCGUUAAGUCCUCAAACUUGUAAAACAUACAUAAAUAUUUCCUUUGCUUUAGUUCUCAAAGGAUAAUCCGUGUAUUAUUUGCCGUUAAUGUUAGCAACCAUAUAGAUCAAUAUUCACCUUUUUGAAAUCGAUAGCGGUGAAUUAAGCAAUCGUCUGCCAGUAUAGCAAAUAGAAGAAGUACCUGACUGCUUAUGGUCGUCAGUAGCAGACGUACCGGAAGUCAUGACACAUGGAAUAGCUUAUAAGCGGGAUUAUGAAUAAAAGAAAGAAUGAAGAAGUUUCGAUACAUUCUACUUUUUUUUGUUUUUAUUUUAGAAUUAUGCUUUGAUUUAGGUCAGUGUUCAUCAACUGCUGCACCAGAAGAAGAAGACGACUUUUUUGGUAGUGACAAGUUUGUAGGGUUGAUGAUCGGUUUGGGUUCAUUUGCUGGACUUCUUGUUUUGUGCUGUAUUCUAUGGAAAUGCUGUUGUGGUGGGAAGGACGACUAGGUACAAAAUAUCCAGAUACCAGAAAAUGAGGAAUGAUGUGAGACUUACAUUAUCAUUUGUGAUAUUAGCGAAUCAUUUCCUUCCAUAAAAGGAUGUUUUGUUACGUGGUUAUGCGCAUGUCGUUAACAAUUAUUUGACAUUGUUUAAACACAUGGAAUAUUAAUAAUAUAUAUAUAUAUGUGCUGCUUCGGUGGAGAAAAUGGAUGCUUGUGUUUGUUGACUGGUUAACUGUUUUGAUCAGCAGCAUUAAGUUGGCAAGUUAACUGCUGAAGAACUGUUUUUGUCCAUGUUAUAUAUAAUGUACACACUUAUAAUUUCAGAACUACAGAAGUAUGUUUGAUGUCAUUAUUCGGGUUACUUAAAAGAUAUUGUGUCGAAUAUCCAUUUAAGUUUUAUCUGCUAAUUGCAAUAUUUUGUGUACACUUUUUGAACUAUAUCCCAAAAUGUAUUAGUUUCUGAAACGAAAUUAAGUACCAACAACGUACUAGUACUAUUGUUCCAUUUUUUAAAGUUUCAUUGAUGUCGAUGAUUAACAUAAUGCUUUCUUUUCACAUGUCAAUAUUAUGUUACAUUAUCGAAUUCGUUCACUAUUUACAAACCUGAAGCGCACCUUAUUUAUUAAGUGAUCAAGGUCUUUAUCAUAGUAACAACGCUUUUAUCGCAUCAGAAACAAUUUUUUCUCUUUUGAUGGAUAAAUAUCAUAAUUAAAAUGAUGUAUACAUGUAUUUAUCAUGGUGGAACAAAUUGUUGAUUCUUUAGUAACAUAUAAACCAAAACAAAUAUUAUGUCAAUUGCGUAUACAAAACUUUUACAACAUAAGACACCAUAACUAGUGUACAUGUAUUACAGAACCAAAUAGGAUUUCGUACUUAAAGAUUUUACAGGAAGUAGUUCUAUUUAUAUAUAUUCUGCUUAUUUUUAACUGAAUGCAAUACAACACAGAUAAAUAUUUCUCAUCAUAAACUAUUGAACUACUAAAUGCUUACCUUGGCAUAAAUAUUUUGUUUUCGUGUUUAACGAUUUGCAUUGUUAUCUCCGUCCAAUACUGUCACGUGGCACCUUACAAUAUUAAUUUUAUUUACGGAACAAAUUGCUUUUAUUUUUAUACUUGUAAAUGUGCUAUUACAAUAAAUGAAGUCUAUUAUUC